UACGUAGGGGGCAAGCGUUGUCCGGAUUUAUUGGGCGUAAAGAGCGUGUAGGCGGCCAGGUAGGUCCGUUGUGAAAACUCGAGGCUUAACCUCGAGACGUCGAUGGAAACCAUCUGGCUAGAGUCCGGAAGAGGAGAGUGGAAUUCCUGGUGUAGCGGUGAAAUGCGCAGAUAUCAGGAAGAACACCCGUGGCGAAGGCGGCUCUCUGGGACGGUACUGACGCUGAGACGCGAAAGCGUGGGGAGCGAACAGG
rnacentral:rRNA from 1 species